rnacentral:rRNA from 1 species
UACCGAGUUUACAACUCCCAAACCCCUGUGAACAUACCUAUACGUUGCCUCGGCGGAUCAGCCCGCGCCCCGUAAAAAGGGACGGCCCGCCCGAGGACCCCUAAACUCUGUUUUUAGUGGAACUUCUGAGUAAAACAAACAAAUAAAUCAAAACUUUCAACAACGGAUCUCUUGGUUCUGGCAUCGAUGAAGAACGCAGCAAAAUGCGAUAAGUAAUGUGAAUUGCAGAAUUCAGUGAAUCAUCGAAUCUUUGAACGCACAUUGCGCCCGCCAGUAUUCUGGCGGGCAUGCCUGUUCGAGCGUCAUUUCAACCCUCAAGCUCAGCUUGGUGUUGGGACUCGCGGUAACCCGCGUUCCCCAAAUCGAUUGGCGGUCACGUCGAGCUUCCAUAGCGUAGUAAUCAUACACCUCGUUACUGGUAAUCGUCGCGGCCACGCCGUAAAACCCCAACUUCUGAAUGUUGACCUCGGAUCAGGUAGGAAUACCCG